rnacentral:tRNA from 1 species
UCCCUGGUGGCUCAGAUGGUAAAGAGUCUGCCUGCAGUGCAGGAGACCAAGGUUCGAUUCCUGGCUCGGAAA